ACAGAGACAGAGUUUACUGAGACAGACUAUACGGAGACAAAAAGUUGUUACCAGUAGAAGAAACUAUGACUUUUAUUAACAAAGGUGAAUUAACUUAACCAAGAGGGUAUCUGUAGUUUAUCAUCUACCUCAAAACUUUCUGUGUAUAGGUACCCUCAGAGUGGGCCUACAGUUCCUGCCUUUACUGUAUGCAUCUUCUGUAACCUAGCAGGGCUAUGUGGUGAGAACGCACAGGCACUUGAAGGUGUAGGUGGACUGACUGGGAAGAAGGGGGACUGAGUCUAAGAUAUACCCCCUUAGAGCCUAAGGAUCCCCUUACCUCUUAAAAAGAAAGACAAAGGGAUCUCAGAGAAAUCCUGACCUCCACUCAUUCUCCAUAAGGGUAAGUUUCUUUUUACUAACUUGGGACACAGAUAAAUUCAUUCAGGCAUCACUAGGGAGCCUCUUGGGAAAUAUCCUAGCCACAUAUACCACUAACACAAGUGCUUCUGACUACCUUUUACUCCUUUCACCACGUUUCACAAGUCUGUUUUGUUAUAAUCUCUUAGUUUAUAUCCUUUAAUUCUAACUUCUUGGGUCGGUGUCCAUAACAACAGGUGAAAUUGGGAUGUAAGUACUCCGAGUGCUUCAGAUGAAAUUGUUUUGUCUUUGUUAUAGUUUAACAAAUAAAUCCAGGUUUUCUAAAAAAAAUAAAAAAUAAAGAAAAUUUCAGACAUCAUGAAAUCUCACCACUAAAUAUUUUGGCAUGAUUUAGCUAAGAAUAAGGACAGUCACCUACUUAACCACAAUACCAUUGUGAUAGCUAAGAAAAUGAACAAAAACUCCAUAAUAUCCUCCUGCAUCUAGUCUAUAUUCCAGUUUCCCUAGUGGUAAUUUAAAUUUUUUCAUAGCCUCCCCAACUAAGAUAAUAUAACCACAUGAAGAAAAAAAUUAUUUCAACUAACUUUUGAAACUAGUGCUUUUUACAGCCUUUGUUGGAUGAAUUCUAAGGGAAAACUUUCUGUUUUACUGGAAAGAAAUCCUAAACUUCACUCAGUAGGUUUAAUGUUUGUGCUAAUUGUGACCUUGAAAUAUUCUACUUUUGUGGUAGGACAAAACAUUUAAAAGAACGUUUUAAUGUUAA